rnacentral:rRNA from 1 species
AUUGAACGCUGGCGGCAUGCUUUACACAUGCAAGUCGAACGACAGCGCGGGCUUCGGCCUGGCGGCGAGUGGCUAACGGGUGAGUAAUGCAUCGGAACGUGCCCAGUAGUGGGGGAUAGCCCGGCGAAAGCCGGAUUAAUACCGCAUACGACCUGAGGGUGAAAGCGGGGGACCGAAAGGCCUCGCGCUAUUGGAGCGGCCGAUGUCGGAUUAGCUAGUUGGUGGGGUAAAGGCUUACCAAGGCGACGAUCCGUAGCUGGUCUGAGAGGACGACCAGCCACACUGGGACUGAGACACGGCCCAGACUCCUACGGGAGGCAGCAGUGGGGAAUUUUGGACAAUGGGGGCAACCCUGAUCCAGCCAGGCCGCGUGCGGGAAGAAGGCCUUCGGGUUGUAAACCGCUUUUGUUCGGGAAGAAAUCCUCUGGGCUAAUACCCCGGGGGGAUGACGGUACCGGAAGAAUAAGCACCGGCUAACUACGUG